rnacentral:tRNA from 1 species
GGAGGGUGAGUAUCAGGUGAUACAGCGAGAUUGCUAAUCCCGUACGGCUCAUACCCGUGAGGUUCAAGUCCUCCUCCCUCCGC